AAGUAUGGUGAGGGAAGUAUUUGUGUGUAAACAUAAAAGGAACGUCCGAGCUGAUAGAUACCAGUAUUGCCUUCUAACGGAAGGGGCUUUGAAAAAAGUACGGAAAGUGCCACAGAGACGCAGUAAUCUUUGAUUUUUCGAAGAGGAUAUGAAACGUUUUGCAUUUGCAAAAUUCUCAUUAGUAAUAAUGAUGAACGGUAAACCCCAAUAUUUCAGCAAGGUGAGAUGGUGUAUUUUAAUUUUUAUGGUACUAUUGAUUUUAAAAUCACUCACUGCUCGAUUUUAUAUGCGAAUAUAAAACUAGAUAGAUUCUUCUCUGAAAAACAGAACUCGGCGUAUGAUCCAUGCUUCAAA
rnacentral:RNase_P_RNA from 1 species